AGCAGCCCUCAUGAAGCUGGCCUGGCCCUGGCUUAUCAGCUGCACCCAAAGGCAGGAAGGUUCUAAAUGAGGCUCCUAGCCUCAGACUGGGAAGAGGGGAAGAUAAGGUAAGGGUGGCCUCCUUCCUUCCAGGGCCUGGGGUGGCUUUGAGCACUUAAGGGGACAGAUGUGUGCCUAGGACUCUCCAGGUGGUGGGGGUGAGCAGCAGGGACGUCCACCUCCCUCAGAGGGUCUGACGCUCAGAUGGACUGGUCUUGCCCCUCUCGCAGGAGGCUACAGCCAUUUCUCCAUCUCUGUUCUGUGCUGAGACCCUGGGAAGCCCGAGGACGGGACAUUAGGUUUGUCAUCAGCCUUGCACGUGUGUGAGAUGAGACUGUGUGGUGUGCGUCUAGAUGUUUGAGCAGGAGUGGGGCUGGGGACCAUUUCUCAUGGGCAAGUGGGGAGGAAGCCCGGCUUAAGUGGGGCAGUGUGGCCUCAUCCAGAACUGCUCUACCCUUAGUGGUAACUUGUGAGACACGUCUUUGUGACGGCAUUAAGAUCAAGGUUGAGGGGCUCUGAGAGGCUCAGUUAAGCGUCUGACUUCGGCUCAGGUCACGAUCUCACGGUUCAUGAGUGAGCCCCAUGUCAGAGCCUGGAGCCUGCUUCAGAUUCUGUCUCCCUCCCCCCACUCAUUCUCUCUCUCUCUCUCCUUCAAACAUUAAAACUUAAAUUAAUUAAUUAAAAAAAGAUCGAGGUUGAGAUUGGGGUGUCAGGGAGGACAGCUGGCUUAGAGGUAGGGGAGGAUUUGCUGUACUUUUUUUCUGAAGGUCUCUGGUACUGGAAGGAUCUUCUCUGUAUCCCUCCUCCUUGGGGUCAGAGACCAGAUCUGCUGGCUUGGGGCAGUUUAGGGGGAAUCCUACCAGACGGAGGGAUCAGAGAUUCCCUUUGGGUGAAUGGAGAAGGGGCUGUCUUUCUGUUUGUGAUGAAAUUUGCAGUGAACCACCAAGCUUCAGAGAUGGAGAGAGGCUGAUCCCAGCCGCUUCUGUGCCCUGUAGGUCCUGCGCCUUAGCUUUGCAAGCUGAGUGGUCUGGCCCCAUUUGACUCGUGGCCUACAUGGGAGCCCACAGGGACGUCCCGCCCUUCUGCCCACACAGGUGCAGACCUAAACUUGAUCUUUGCAAAUCAGUCGGCUAUCUCUGCUCACUAGAAGCACAGUAACCUCUUGAACUGUCCAGAUUAGAGUUUUCAGAUUAUGAGGGACCCAACACAAUUUCAAGUCAACACAAGGUGAGAGGGGAGGCCUAAGGACUCUUUCCAAUCUCAAGGCCUUUACAUAUAUUGCAGUCCCCCCCCCCCCCCCCCCCCGGCAUAUUCUCCCCUAUCCCUAACCCAUCCUUUUAUCUAGGCAAUUCCCACCCAUCCUUCAGAGCCCAGCCUAGGUGUGGCUUCCGAGGAAGCCUUCCCAGACUGCCCAGAUCAGUCUCAAAGCUCUUGGUCUCAUUUGCUACAAUUAUAAACAUUUCGCAUCGUGUGACUGAUUAUUUUCUUCUCCCUCUUGUAGAAUGUAAGCUUCAUAAGGAGAGCGCUGGGAGUUUCUCUUGUUUACCACCCAUCGAGUCCCUGGCAGAAAGUAGAUACUCAACAAACAAGAGCCGAAUGAGAGAAUAAAUGGGGUCACCAGGUUGCCAGUGGAAUCCCUCCCACCUUCUAGCGGCCAGACUGCUGUCUCAGACUGUAUGGAUACUGUUCUGUGUUCUUAUCGACUGAAGGGGAGAACCACAGCUGGGCUGAAGUUCUCCGCGCAGCUCCUGGGACUUUUGAGUUCUCGUGAGGUGAUCACUGGUCUCACUCCUCUUGUUUGAUCUCCCCCGGACUCUCUGCUAAGUUAAGGUCCAUUCCCUACCACGCCCACUGUCUUCUUUCUCGAGAUGCUUAGCUUCUGGUCUUUGUGUGAAACACGCGGCUCUCUCCAAGUGAAGCCCAGAAAGCUACGUGGUGGAGGGAAGGUUGUGGUUAGCAUGGUCCACCUGCGCUCGAUGCGGUUUCAUGAGGAGAUCAAGGAGCAGGUCAUCUGGACUGGUUGGGAUGGUUUCAGAAGAAGCCUGCAUACUUCCUGAAGCAGUCCACCUCUGCUUUUGCAAGUCCUCCGGAACUUUGUACCUUGAGAGCUGGCUCAGAGGCAGCCGAGGAGCCGGCCUGGAGACUCCCCUUUCUCUAGAGAGCGGGACUACAGCUUGCCGGCUGAGCGCACAGAGCCUCAAGGCCGCUCUACCUGUGUGCCCUGCUCAUGCUCCGCCCCCAGCCACUCCCUCGCCGGGCCUGUGCUGAAUCAGCAGCAUCCCCCUUGCUCUCUUGGCAUGCUGCAGCCCGGCUAAGCCAAGUGUGGUUACAAUGAGUCGGUUCAUCUGGAAGCUCGCAUCCUGUACCCUUUUCCAAUGUGAUGUUCCAGCCAACUGGCACCCAAGAGUAAAGAAAAACCCUGGGAACCGAGGCUGCUGAGGACUUACAGCCUUGCACAAGCCAAGGGCAAGGGCAACAUUGAGGGGAAGGUCGCCCUGCUGCCAGGCCUUUCUCUCUACUCCAU
rnacentral:lncRNA from 1 species